rnacentral:rRNA from 1 species
AGCUCUUAGAGUGUAUAUGAAUGUUGUUGUAGUUAAAACGCUCAUAGCUUAUAAUAAUGGGUCGAUUGGUUCCUACCGACUGCACUUGUGGAAGGUACUAUCAGUCUGGCUCACAGAAAGUCCAGUGAUUUGCUGUCGGGCGUGGAAACACGCUACGGGCUCGGGCGUAGCGAUACGUUCGAUUCGCUGGAGAGGAUUAACUUUGAACAAAUUAGAGUGUUUAAAACAAGCUUCUUAGCUUUGAAUAUAUUAGCAUAGUAUUACAGAAUAUGAUGGAUUCGUUUCGAAAGUUUUGUUGCGCGCCGUCAAAAGUGCGUAAUGGAGCGGGUCAUUUAAUGAGAGAUAGAAAUUGAUGGAGCGAUCUUUAUUUACUGGGAAGGGGUGAAAUCCUAUGAUCCAGUGAAGAAACACUAAUGCGAAAGCACCUCGCUAAGAUGUUUUUA